GGAAUUGUCUCUUCCUCUCAUUCCCACUUUCCCAGGUGCCUCACUGGGGUUGGAGAAGGAAUCCUGGUCAUUCUUCUCAAAGGUGGGCAGAGUCUCUCCCUAAGGAAGAUAUCCCAUUGUUUUUGUAGGAAUUGGAGAGAUCUCCAAAGUCAGAUCCCAGUUUUUGUAAUGCCAGCAACAUCCUGUGAAGAUCUCUGGAAGUCCAGAUCUGUUUUGUGGAGAGAUGGACAAGGGGAGAAUUCCCAAAGCAAAGACUUCUGUGAGUUCUUGCCUUGGAAGAGUUCCUUGACAGCAAGACAAGCUGCUUAAUUACAUGAAACAGGGAAAGAAAACUUGCAUUGGUUUGAAUUUUGCACCUUUGAAUUUGUCUCUUUCCCUGGCAUUGCUCCCCUGCCCUGACCCGGAGGGGUGAUGCUGUUUUGGGAGAGCAGUUGUUAACCUUGGAGCUGAGCUGUAAACACCCCCAGAAUUUGGGGUAAUUUCCCCAAGGCUGGGCUCUGAUGGAGGCAAUUCUCAGAAAUUAACAGAUAGCAGGUAAUUGAUGAUCUUUGAGGAUGUUGUCUCCAUAGAUUCCCACUCCAGCUUCCCUCCCUGUUUCUUUAGAAUGUAAUUUAUGGUUGGUUCUCAGAGGAGGUCACAAAAAAUCCUGGAGACAGGUGGGAACACACACCCUGUUUAAAAACUUCCACAUGAGGUUCCCUGCCACUCAAAAGUCAUAAUUAGUGAAUAUUCUCAGGCUUGCAACCAGAGGCUGGAAUUUGUGGAUAAACUUAACUUGAGGAACAUCUCAUGAAGUAAAUUUUCCUUUUUAGUACUGAGAAACAUAAUGAAAACCCACCUGGAAUUUAAAUCUCAGGAAUGUGGCAUCAUCUGGGAACUUUUGAUGGUGCUCAGGGCAGAUAUUGAUGUUUUUCUGGUUCUGUGAGUGGCAGGUAGGUCAGGACCUGUCUCAUCAUGAUUUGUCCUCACUGGGUCAUCUUUAUGAUAAAAUAGCAAUGGACAUUAACACUGAAAUUUGGGAAAAUCAGUGUAUUUGAAAGCUAAAAACCCAAUCCUGUUCUGAUCUUUAGCAUUAUAAAUUUCCCUUUUUUAUUUUACUGAAUUUAAGCAAAUUCUCCUGAUUAAUUUUUUCUCCAGAAGGGCUUUUUAAAAUCCAGUAGAAUGCAGGAUUGUGCAUGGCUAAAAUCCACCCUUGUAAUCCCAAAGUGAUAUUUGAUAACCACCACUUUUAGGGGACAGAUGGCAGAGUAAAACUUUCUAUAUUUCACCGAAAAUAUCAGUUUUCACAAGAGGCAGUCAGAAUUUGGGAAUUAAGGGUAGGGAUACCAUAAAACCAUGAAAAAAGUGUUCAUUAUCCACUCACUGCUGAUUUGAAGCAGCAUCAUUUCUUGCCCAGGAAAUAUUUUUAGCCAAAAUCAAAAGAAAUCAAAGAAAUUGAAGCAAAUAUUCCUGUGUCUGUAUCAGGGAAGAAACACUGGCAACAAAUCAGUUUUUAACACUACUUUUAGUGCUCCUAGUAGAAUUAUCUGAAUAAAGUUACUACCUUUUAAAACUUAUCA
rnacentral:lncRNA from 1 species